rnacentral:rRNA from 1 species
UACGUAGGGUGCGAGCGUUGUCCGGAAUUACUGGGCGUAAAGAGCUCGUAGGCGGCUUGUCGCGUUGUUCGUGAAAAUUUACCGCUCAACGGUGAACUUGCGGGCGAUACGGGCAGGCUAGAGUACUGCAGGGGAGACUGGAAUUCCUGGUGUAGCGGUGAAAUGCGCAGAUAUCAGGAGGAACACCGGUGGCGAAGGCGGCCUUCUGGGUCGACCCUGACGCUGAGAGGCGAAAGCGUGGGGAGCGAACGGG